AUGCUACCUGGUUGAUCCUG
rnacentral:rRNA from 34 species